GAUGAACGCUGGCGGCGUGCCUAAUACAUGCAAGUCGAGCGAACGGACGAGAAGCUUGCUUCUCUGAUGUUAGCGGCGGACGGGUGAGUAACACGUGGAUAACCUACCUAUAAGACUGGGAUAACUUCGGGAAACCGGAGCUAAUACCGGAUAAUAUUUUGAACCGCAUGGUUCAAAAGUGAAAGACGGUCUUGCUGUCACUUAUAGAUGGAUCCGCGCUGCAUUAGCUAGUUGGUAAGGUAACGGCUUACCAAGGCAACGAUGCAUAGCCGACCUAAGAGGGUGAUCGGCCACACUGGAACUGAGACACGGUCCAGACUCCUACGGGAGGAAGCAGUAGGGAAUCUUCCGCAAUGGGCGAAAGCCUGACGGAGCAACGCCGCGUGAGUGAUGAAGGUCUUCGGAUCGUAAAACUCUGUUAUUAGGGAAGAACAUAUGUGUAAGUAACUGUGCACAUCUUGACGGUACCUAAUCAGAAAGCCACGGCUAACUACGUG
rnacentral:rRNA from 1 species